rnacentral:rRNA from 1 species
GUACGCUAUUCAGAGUUUGAUCCUGGCUCAGGAUGAACGCUGGCGGCGUGCAUAACACAUUCAAGUCGAACGGACGUAAGACUUCGGUUUUACGUUAGUGGCGGACGGGUGAGUAACGCGUGAGCAACCUGCCCCUAUGUGCGGGAUAACGUUUGGAAACGAACGCUAAUACCGCAUGACGCAUGACGGUCGCAUGGUCGACAUGCCAAAGAUUUAUUGCAUAGGGAUGGGCUCGCGUCCGAUUAGAUAGUUGGUGGGGUAACGGCCUACCAAGUCGACGAUCGGUAGCCGGACUGAGAGGUUGAACGGCCACAUUGGAACUGAGAAACGGUCCAG